rnacentral:rRNA from 1 species
GAUGAACGCUAGCGGCAGGCUUAACACAUGCAAGUCGAGGGGUAUAGGUUUUCGGACCUAGAGACCGGCGCACGGGUGCGUAGCGCGUAUGCAAUCUACCUUUCACAGAGGGAUAGCCCAGAGAAAUUUGGAUUAAUACCUCAUAGUAUAGCAGUUUCGCAUGAAACCAAUAUUAAAGUUCCAACGGUGAAAGAUGAGCAUGCGUCCCAUUAGCUAGAUGGUAAGGUAACGGCUCACCAUGGCUACGAUGGGUAGGGGUCCUGAGAGGGAGAUCCCCCACACUGGUACUGAGACACGGACCAGACUCCUACGGGAGGCAGCAGUGAGGAAUAUUGGUCAAUGGACGCAAGUCUGAACCAGCCAUGCCGCGUGCAGGAUGACGGUCCUAUGGAUUGUAAACUGCUUUUGUACGAGAAGAAACAACAUUACGUGUAAUGUCUUGACGGUAUCGUAAGAAUAAGGAUCGGCUAACUUCGUGCCAGCCGCCGCGGUAACAC